UACGAAGGGAGCUAGCGUUGUUCGGAAUCACUGGGCGUAAAGCGCACGUAGGCGGGUUUGUCAGUCAGGGGUGAAAUCCCCGGAGCUCAACUCCGGAACUGCCCUUGAUACAGCAAGCCUUGAGUCCGGAAGAGGUAGGUGGAAUUCCUAGUGUAGAGGUGAAAUUCGUAGAUAUUAGGAAGAACACCAGUGGCGAAGGCGGCCUACUGGUCCGGCACUGACGCUGAGGUGCGAAAGCGUGGGGAGCAAACAGG
rnacentral:rRNA from 1 species